CAACACUGGACAAGAUGCUAUGUGUGGAGCUCUGCACUGGAAGCUGCCGAUACAGCCAUGAGUGGAGGAUCGGGGCCUGGGUCUGUAAGCACUGAGAGCCUGAGCAGUGGGCCAGUGCUCCAAUGAAGCCAGAGGCCUCCUGGGUCCUGACACAGCUGGGGAUGGGAAUGAUGUUCCUUGUGCCCAGGAAGCUAGGGAGACCUAUGAGAAGAAAGGAUGGCCUGUUAUGUGUAGAGUGACCUGAUGGAGACAGCCAUUCCACUCAGCCUCAUCCAAGGACAUGGGGACACAACAAGGGACCUCACGAGAUCGCUUUACAGACCAGUUUGGUCCGGAGGCACAUUUCUUCUGCAGGGAUUGGCAAGGAAGAUUUCAGUCUUCAAGGU
rnacentral:lncRNA from 1 species